AGUUAUCAGUUGCACCAGUAUUAAAGGCAGACCCUUGGGGCAUUCGAGAGUUAUCGCUUUUACAAGAAUCAGAUGACCCAAAAGUAUCCCCUCUUUGGCCUAACAUGGAUGAAUAAUAAAACAGACCGCUGCCCCUUUCCAGCUCCUCUCCUCACCUUUGACCCUGUGCUCUCCACUUCUUCUGGCCCACCUCUUCCCUCCCACAUGGCCACGCAUCAUCGGUGGACUUCCUACAGGAAGCCCAGGGGCGCCAACAGCGAGAAUCUCCAGUGGAAGUUAAACAAGAAAUCAUGGACUCCCCCUUCUGCUAGCAUCAGCCACAUAUUUGACAGAAAAAGAGUGAAUUUCAGUGGGAACUCCUCUGUCUACAGUCUAUCACCAUAUCAAGCCAAUUCCCUGCACACAGGCUCUCCAUGGCUCUUCCACAUUACCACAGCCCCUUGUUCCUCUGUUGUGUAAUUGGAGCUGAAAUGGCAAAACAACGGCCGAUCGUUUCCAGAGGUCACCAUUCCUCUGCAGCUCACAUCCUGGUUCUUCAUCUCUAUGGUCACACUAAAUCCAAAUGCUGUUACUGCUGUUUUCUUAUUUAAAUGUGACCUAAAGAUAAAAUAAAAGAUAGCAUUCAACGCUGUGCUUUUUUUUUUCUUCCACUGCAACAAAUGUACAUUCCCAAUAAAAAUAAAGCUAUGUAGCAAAGUGUGGAUUUCCACAGUAGGAUUUAUUUUACAAACCAAAGUUUCUGAAAUGUUCUUGAAGA